AGUGAACGCUGGCGGUGUGCCUAAUACAUGCAAGUCGAACGGAGUGGCCGGCGGGUGGGUAAGGUAUAGCUAGUCUUCUCUACACUAGAGGACAACAGCUGGUAACGACUGCUAAUACUCCCUAGUGUAGGACGAGGCUAUAUUGUAUCAGCUAGUUGGUGAGGUAAUGGCUCACCAAGGCUAUGACGCAUAACUGGUCGGUGAGGAUGGUCAGUCACACUGGAACUGAGGCACGGGUCAGACUCCUACGGGAAGGAGCAGGAGGGGAUAUUGCUAAAAUGGGGGAAACCUGAAGCAGCAGAGGCGCGUGGAGGAUGACAGGUUUCGGAGCGUAAACUCCUUUUGUUAGGGAAGCGGUACCUAACGAAUAAGCACCGGCUAACUACGUGCCAGCAGCCGCGGUAAUUC
rnacentral:rRNA from 1 species